ACCAUAGGUCUGUGAGUUCAU
rnacentral:misc_RNA from 1 species